GAUGAACGCUGGCGGCGUGCCUAAUACAUGCAAGUAGAACGCUGAAGGAGGAGCUUGCUCUUCUGGAUGAGUUGCGAACGGGUGAGUAACGCGUAGGUAACCUGCCUGGUAGCGGGGGAUAACUAUUGGAAACGAUAGCUAAUACCGCAUGACAACAGUUAUUGCAUGAUAACUGUUUAAAAGGGGCAACUGCUCCACUACCAGAUGGACCUGCGUUGUAUUAGCUAGUUGGUGAGGUAACGGCUCACCAAGGCGACGAUACAUAGCCGACCUGAGAGGGUGAUCGGCCACACUGGGACUGAGACACGGCCCAGACUCCUACGGGAGGCAGCAGUAGGGAAUCUUCGGCAAUGGACGGAAGGCUGACCGAGCAACGCCGCGUGAGUGAAGAAGGUUUUCGGAUCGUAAAGCUCUGUUGUAAGAGAAGAACGAGUGUGAGAGUGGAAAGUUCACACUGUGACGGUAUCUUACCAGAAAGGGACGGCUAACUACGUG
rnacentral:rRNA from 1 species